UCCGAGUUGACCCCGGCAGUCUCCCAUGAGUCCCCGGCAUUAUCCGCUGGCAACAUGGAACGAGGGUUGCGCUCGUUGCGGGACUUAACCCAACAUCUCACGACGCGAGCUGACGACAGCCAUGCACCACCUGUGAUCCUGCCCCGAAGGGAAACCAUGUUUCCAUGGCGGUCAGGAACACGUCAAGCCCAGGUAAGGUUCUUCGCGUUGCGUCGAAUUAAACCACAUGCUCCGCUGCUUGUGCGGGCCCCCGUCAAUUCCUUUGAGUUUUAGCCUUGCGGCCGUAGUCCCCAGGCGGGGCACUUACUGCGUUUGCGGCGGCACCGGGGGGGUCGAUACCCCCGACACCUAGUGCCCAUCGUCUACAGCGUGGACUAC
rnacentral:misc_RNA from 1 species